GCAGCCGCGGUAAUUCCAGCUCCAAUAGCGUAUAUUAAAGUUGUUGCAGUUAAAAAGCUCGUAGUUGAAUUUCGGGAUUGACACAUCGGUCGUGCCUUAAGGGGUAUGAACUGGUGUAGUCAAUUUCUCACCUUCUGGAGAACCGCGAUGUCCUUAAUUGGGUGCCGCGGGGAACCAGGACCUUUACUUUGAAAAAAUUAGAGUGUUUAAAGCAGGCAUUUUGCUUGAAUACAUUAGCAUGGAAUAAUAAAAUAGGACGGAUGAUUCUAUUUUGUUGGUUUCUAGGACCACCGUAAUGAUUAAUAGGGAUAGUUGGGGGCAUUAGUAUUCAAUUGUCAGAGGUGAAAUUCUUGGAUUUAUUGAAGACUAACUACUGCGAAAGCAUUUGCCAAGGAUGUUUUCAUUAAUCAAGAACGAAAGUUAGGGGAUCGAAGACGAUCAGAUACCGUCGUAGUCUUAACCAUAAACUAUGCCGACUAGGAAUCAGACGAUGUUAAUUUUUUAAUGACUCGUUUGGCACCUUACGGG
rnacentral:rRNA from 1 species